UUUCUUAUGGUGAUAUCGCGGUCUCCGCGCGUUGCAGGGAGCUUGCUGCGGAGGUUAAACUGAAGAUUCUAUUGUCCGGGAAUGAUAGCGGUUGCAAAUAGUGUCGCUCCUGCCGGAAAGCGUCUCACCGGCGUGGUGCAAGCCGAGCAGCGGAACAGGUUUGCGGUAAUGCCUGGGCACUGUGCAGUGACGUCACUUAGUGUCAUAGGGCAUGGGGAUUAGAUCCUAUGCAUUUCGGAUAGUGCGCUAUCCUUCCUCAGGGAUCCCUGAGCGGACACCGGCUCGUCACUGAGCGUGGAGACACGGCAGCCGGUACGCGGUCUUUGAGGAAGCCGGAAACCGCGAUAUCACCAUAAGAAACACGGAGGCACUGUAUUACGACAGUAGUUACAGCGUCCAGCAUUUUUGUGUACAAUUGGACAUUGCUGCAGAACACCUAUAUAGCACUUUUAAUGGAAUCCCUUACCAACUAUGAAUACUCCCCUAUCAACUCCCACACCCAGGACAAAACGGAUCAUCACUUGUUCAUAACAAAGACUCAGGAGGCGGCAAGGCCCGGCAUUACCAAUGUGGACCUGCAAGAGAGCAAGAUGUGACUGCUGGAGCUCCAAACACGGUGGCAAAUUCAUACAGUCAUCUGCACAUCCGGCCUGCACAGCCCUGCCAUACUGCCAACCGCAGCUCAGUCCUGGGACCACAUCCAUAGUAGCCCAUCACUGGUUGUGAAGUCACCAAAAGGUCAUCCAAAAAUAGGAAAAUGUGAGGAUUAAAAACUAAAAAAAAAAUAAGUAGAAAACAAAUAAAGCACGUCAUUACAUAUAAACGUAAGAAAGAUCUGCUGGGAGCUGUAACUCUUUUUAUUAUAAAAAUGAAAAACACAUCUGAUACAAAACAUAAAACAAAAACAAGCUUAACCAGCUAUAACAAAAAUAAAAUUACAAAACAAACUCUGCCU